rnacentral:rRNA from 1 species
UGGGGAAUAUUGCACAAUGGGCGCAAGCCUGAUGCAGCGACGCCGCGUGCGGGAUGACGGCCUUCGGGUUGUAAACCGCUUUUGAUCGGGAGCAAGCCUUCGGGUGAGUGUACCUUUCGAAUAAGCACCG